CCUCCCUCGGUCCCUCAGUCAAGCCCCCGCCGAGCGGCUAACGGCUUUUCCUCAGCCUCCGUUGCUUUCCUGAGUAUGUUCCCGGCCCUGGUGCGCUGUAUUGCCCAUGUGGGCGAAUGUCUCUGCGGGAUGCCGCUUCUAGGGUGCUGGUGACUGCAGGCCAGACCUAGUCCGGCACUACGACGCCAAAACUCCACGAAGCCUCGCUGUUGUGCUUCCUGUGAGUUUGAGUGAAUGUGUGACGAUGCACAGCCGCCACCACAGAGUCACAAGGAAUGGCAUCACUGCCCUCUGAACCCCCUGUGCCCUACCUGUUCACCCCUCCUUCACAACAGCCCCUAAAAUCCCUGACAUUUUUCCUGUCUGGAAUUUCCCCUUUCCCAGAGUAUGCCACAUUUUCUGACUGAUUUCUUUCACUCAGUAAUGUGUUCACCUUUACUUUUUAUUUUAUUUUUGCACAGAACUAGGGUGUAGUCCACAGGUGCAGAGCAGGAGGGGUGAGAUGAUUUCUUGAGACAGUGGGGAGCAGAGGAGGCAGUUCAGCUGAAAGACAUUGCU